rnacentral:rRNA from 1 species
GAUGAACGCUAGCGGCAGGCCUAAUACAUGCAAGUCGAGGGGUAACAUGAGAGCUUGCUCUUGAUGACGACCGGCGCACGGGUGCGUAACGCGUAUGCAACCUACCCACAACUGAGGCAUAGCCCGGAGAAAUCCGGAUUAAUACCUCAUAAUGCAGGGGUACCUCCUGGUACUAUUUGCUAAAGAUUUAUCGGUUGUGGAUGGGCAUGCGUCUGAUUAGUUUGUUGGUGAGGUAACGGCUCACCAAGACCACGAUCAGUAGGGGGUCUGAGAGGAUGAUCCCCCACACUGGCACUGAGAUACGGGCCAGACUCCUACGGGAGGCAGCAGUAGGGAAUAUUGGGCAAUGGGCGAAAGCCUGACCCAGCCAUGCCGCGUGAAGGAUGAAGGCCUUCUGGGUUGUAAACUUCUUUUAUAUAGGAAGAAAAAGGUCAUGCGUGACCAAUUGACGGUACUAUAUGAAUAAGCACCGGCUAACUCCG